CCUCUGUAUAAUUUUCAUACUCAACUUUAAUAGUCUGUCUUAUUUAGAAUUUUUUUAUAAAUUAGUAUUGUUAUUGUUAUGAGAUGUUAAAAUAUGAAUAGUAGUUUAUAUGUGACUUAUGUUUUUUAAAAAAAUUUUAAAAAAAAUAAAUAAGAAGAACGGUUAAAAUUAUGCACGAAAAAUGAUAGCUGCAUUUAAA
rnacentral:pre_miRNA from 1 species